UUGGCUCACUGCUAACAUCACAGAAUGAACUAAAACCAUUCCAUUGAUAACCACCUUGGAUCCAAAUGGCACCUUUGAGAAGCAAAAAUGUAACCUCUGGUUUAUAUUCCAGGGUUCUUGGCAGAAGGAUGGAUUGAUCCUGUCCAACUGAGCACACGCGGGAGCAGAGUGAGCCUGGUGCCCCUCAGUUCUCUCACACCUGCGGCUCCCCUCUCAUCACGGAUGUGAAGUAGGAAAGAAAUAGUUGAUAAACUUGAGGUGUGAUUCUUAGUGCCCGCCCUGCAGAGUUCCUGUGGAGGCUGAGAGGCACCUGCACCUUUAAGGAGGAUUAAAAUGUCUUCUUAAUGAAUUCUCUUACAGGACUGGAUUGCUUACCCCUCGAGUACAAAGUGA
rnacentral:sRNA from 1 species